UACGUAGGGUGCAAGCGUUGUCCGGAAUUAUUGGGCGUAAAGAGCUCGUAGGCGGUUUGUCGCGUCUGCUGUGAAAACCCGAGGCUCAACCUCGGGCCUGCAGUGGGUACGGGCAGACUAGAGUGCGGUAGGGGAGAUUGGAAUUCCUGGUGUAGCGGUGGAAUGCGCAGAUAUCAGGAGGACACCAAUGGCGAAGGCAGGUCUCUGGGCCAU
rnacentral:rRNA from 1 species